rnacentral:rRNA from 1 species
GAUGAACGCUAGCGGAUAGGCUUAACACAUGCAAGUCGAGCGGUAACGAGAUCCAGCGUUGCUGGAUGCUGACGAGCGGCGGACGGGUGAGUAAUGCAUAGGAAUCUGCCCGAUAGUGGGGGAUAACCUGGGGAAACCCAGGCUAAUACCGCAUACGUUCUAACGGGAGAAAGGGGGCUCCGGCUCCCGCUAUGGGAUGAGCCUAUGUCGGAUCAGCUGGUUGGUGAGGUAAAGGCUCACCAAGGCGACGAUCCGUAGCUGGUCUGAGAGGAUGAUCAGCCACAUCGGGACUGAGACACGGCCCGA